AUAAAAGUAGUUCUUAUCUUAAAUUACCCAAUUAAUCUCAGAAACAUCUAAUCGCCCAGUAAUGGUGAAGGAAAGGCGACUAAACUUUAAAGUACCGAGAGGGAAAAAACAAUUGUAGGCACAUUAGUUUAAAAUAACGUACUUUUUGCAUCACGGCCUAGCAAGAGAACACUUAAUAUUUUAGUAUCUCGAAGACUAACGAGCUAUCUUUUUUUGGCAUUUUAGGGCCUUACUUUUUAGCUGUAAAUGUGGCAAAAUUUUAGUAAAAACAAAAGAUAGAUACGAGAUGUUACUCGCGUUAGUGAUAGCUAGUUCUUCUAAAAAAGUAUAUAAGUGCUGGAACGAAGAUUAAAUUCUAAAAAAUUAUUUUUAGCCUUUAUUUCGUCUCUAAUACUUCUAAGGAUAAGCUUAGAAGUAACUAAAAUAAUAGUUUAUGUAUAAGCAGUUUUUAAUGUGGGCCUGAAACUAGCCAACAUAUACGACUCUGUUAUAAGUCAGUUUUAUUAGCUUAAAAAAUCUUUCUAUAAGAAUUUUGUAAUUAUAGAAGCACAAGCAUCAAUUAGUUCGGUUUAACGCAUAUGCUAGGAUGAGUAUUAAAAUCUGCUACGAGAAAUAAAGAAGUAAAAAAUAUUUCCUGAAUAUAAGAAUUCAAAAAUAAAAAUUAGAAAAAAGGAACUCGGCAAAUAACUGCUUCGCCUGUUUACCAAAAACAUGGCUCCUUGAAAUAAAUAUAUAAGGAGUCGGACCUGCCCGGUGAAAAAUUUUAACGGCCGCGGUACUCUGACCGUGCAAAGGUAGCAUAAUCACUUGCCUUAUAAUUGAAGGCUAGUAUGAAUGGUUUGACGAAAGCGUAUCUGUCUCUUUUCUAUUUUGUAAAAAUUAACCUCCAGGUGAAGAGGCCUGCUUAUAAUUGAAGGACGAGAAGACCCUGUCGAGCUUUAAGAAAAAAAGGAAAAUUUUAUACUUGUAAAUAUAAAACCUUUUCUAUCUUUUGGUUGGGGCGACUAGGGAACAAAAAAAGCUUCCCUUAACUAUUAAACCUUUUUGUUAGGAUCCAGUACUUUCUGAUUAAAAGAAUUAGUUACCGCAGGGAUAACAGCAUAAUCCCUUUUGAGAGACCUAAUCGAAAAAGGGGGUUGUGACCUCGAUGUUGGACUAGGAUAUCCUAAAGGUGCAGAAGCCUUUAAUGGUU
rnacentral:rRNA from 1 species